CCUACGGGAGGCAGCAGUGGGGAAUAUUGGACAAUGGGCGAAAGCCUGAUCCAGCCAUGCCGCGUGUGUGAAGAAGGCCUUCGGGUUGUAAAGCACUUUCAGUGGGGAAGAAAGCCUUGGGGCUAAUACCCUCGAGGAAGGACAUCACCCACAGAAGAAGCACCGGCUAACUCCGUGCCAGCAGCCGCGGUAAUACGGAGGGUGCGAGCGUUAAUCGGAAUUACUGGGCGUAAAGCGCGCGUAGGCGGUCUGAUAAGCCGGUUGUGAAAGCCCCGGGCUCAACCUGGGAACGGCAUCCGGAACUGUCAGGCUAGAGUGCAGGAGAGGAAGGUAGAAUUCCCGGUGUAGCGGUGAAAUGCGUAGAGAUCGGGAGGAAUACCAGUGGCGAAGGCGGCCUUCUGGACUGACACUGACGCUGAGGUGCGAAAGCGUGGGUAGCAAACAGGAUUAGAUACCCCAGUGUC
rnacentral:rRNA from 1 species